rnacentral:rRNA from 1 species
CAGCAGUAGCCGCGGUAAUACAGAGGGUGCGAGCGUUAAUCGGAUUUACUGGGCGUAAAGCGUGCGUAGGCGGCUUUUUAAGUCGGAUGUGAAAUCCCUGAGCUUAACUUAGGAAUUGCAUUCGAUACUGGGAAGCUAGAGUAUGGGAGAGGAUGGUAGAAUUCCAGGUGUAGCGGUGAAAUGCGUAGAGAUCUGGAGGAAUACCGAUGGCGAAGGCAGCCAUCUGGCCUAAUACUGACGCUGAGGUACGAAAGCAUGGGGAGCAAACAGGAUUAGAUACCCGGGUAGUCCUGUCUCUUAUACA